AUUGAACGCUGGCGGCAUGCUUUACACAUGCAAGUCGAACGGUAACAGGCCUUCGGGUGCUGACGAGUGGCGAACGGGUGAGUAAUGCAUCGGAACGUACCCAGAGGUGGGGGAUAACGCAGCGAAAGCUGUGCUAAUACCGCAUGUGAUCUGAGGCUGAAAACGGGGGACCGAGCAGCAAUGUUUGGCCUCGCGCCUUUGAAGCGGCCGAUGUCGGAUUAGCUAGUUGGUGGGGUAAAGGCCUACCAAGGCGACGAUCCGUAGCUGGUCUGAGAGGACGACCAGGCACACUGGGACUGAGACAAGGGCCAGACUCCUAAGGGAGGCAGGAGUGGGGAAUUUUGGACAAUGGGAGGAAGCCUGAUUCAGCAAUGACGCGUGCGGGGAGAAGGCCUUCGGGUUGGAAACGGCUUUUGGUAGGAAAGAAAAGCAGCAGGUUAAUACCGCGCUGUAAUGACGGUACCCAAAGAAUAAGCACCGGCUAACUUCGUG
rnacentral:rRNA from 1 species